GGCUCGGUAGCUCAGUUGGUAGAGCAGCUGACUUACAAUCCUCGGGUCGGCGGUUCGAUUCCGUCCUGCUCCACCA
rnacentral:tRNA from 1 species